rnacentral:tRNA from 1 species
GGGUGUUUGGUGUUGCGUAUGGCGAGGAUGCCAUACGCGAGCGGAAUGUGGGUUCACACCCUUUCCAGCAGAGCUAGGGGCUGCGCACAGGUCACUGGUUCGAGUCCAGUAGUGCCCA